AAGCGCAUCGUCGGCGCGGUUCUCGAGCGCGGCACACCGGCGAUAAGGCGGGUUCGCACGAGGGCGGCGCGCGAUAAGCGCGCGGAUUACACGCUGGAUAUUACGCGACGAAUAUUUUACCGCCGCUUUCCCGCUCGAUUUUGUAUGCAAAACGCCGGUUGUCCCCCGCUGUUAGAGCCGUUUGCUCGACCCAUGGCAGCUCGUAGCCCAGGCAGGCUCGUCGUGACUCAGUUUCCGAAGUGUAUUUGAUCGAGAGGGCACACGUGCCGGAUCUGGGGCUGCACAAUGCUCCCGUGUCGACCGAGAAACUCGUUCAAAAUCGUCCACGAGCUCGACGAACACGCGUUAUUUCACCCUCCCUAUAAUAGGCGCAAUUUCCCGUGUACAAAAUACACGUGCGCGGUUUCAUAAGGGGCUGCAAGAGUUUUCGCGACAAGGAGCCUGAAUAAAUUUGUGGCAUGUAAAUAUUGACGCGCUCGUGCCACUGUUUUAGUCGUGUCUCUCGUCAGCUGUGCGAAAAUUUUAGGAUUACGGAACGGGCUUAAAGAAACGUCUGCGAGGAUGAUGGAUAAAAAAUUGGUGGUGAGAAUUGGGAAAGUUCGACGAGCAAUUGGGAAGAAAUACAGCGAUUCGUGGGCUAGAGAGUUUGAUGCACCCAGUGGGUUCUUGAGAUACUUACAGGAGUGUGAUGGAUCGGAGAAAUUUUACUUUCAUAUCGUAUGACGGAUACUUGUUGCGGUUUGAUAUUUUUAUUUAUGUAAAGCUGAUCUAGUUGAUAGAUAAACAGUUGUGACGUUUUUCCAAUUUCUAUAAGAGACUAUUAAGUGUACAAAUUUGUUAAACACGUUCAAAUACGUAAUAUAGAAAUAUUCAAAAAAGAAAGUUAAAUUUUUUCAGGGAUGAAGUUAUUGAGAUCGGAGAGAGGUAAUUUUUUUACCGUGUUUCUCUUCUUCUAUCUUUCAAAUGUAAUUAUUUGAAACAUAUUUGCAGCUAUUAAACGAGACACGUGACGUUAAAAAGUAUUUUUGAACGUCUAAGAAAUAUCGAGUAACACAUACGUAUAUGAUCAUUGCAUUUUUGAUAUCUUUUAGAUUCAUGGACGAGCUGAACAAAAUUUCAUUUUCCUUAACCUCCUCUAAAUUCAUCAGCUACUUUUCCUUUACAAGCGAAAAUCAGCAACCGAUUAAAACCGACAAAUCGAUUUAACAUCGUCGAAAACCAAUCUUCAUCUAUAUCAGCCAGAAAUUCUUUAAUCAAUCUUUAAUUAACCAUACUUUAAAUAAUUUUUCUAUACACAAUUACCCUGCCUCCACAAAUAAACUAACAAACUACUUUGAUACGCGUAUUCCAUGCUAAAACCACCCCUAAGUCACAUCGUUAAAAAUCCUCGCUGUUACAGCACCAUAAUCUCAUCGAAUACCCGGUAUCAAUAUGGAAAGAAGGAAAACGAGAAGAUCCCUUCGCUGCAGCCAAUCCCAGGAGCCAAUCGAGGGAUCUUUAAACGACGUCUCAUCCCAGAGUCACCCCCGUGCUCGCUAGGGUAGCGGCUCGGGACGCGUUUUCCUGGUAGCCGAGCGUGAGCUCGUAAAAAUCUUCCCUUUUAAUCUGCUUUUCGGUCCACAGCGACAUCGACAUCGACAAAGGUGGCCUGAUGACGAAGACCUGAGAGACUUUGCGCACAAAGCAGACCGCGCCGGUAUCGUAAUACCACAAAAGCCACACAGCCAGCUCGCGAUAAGUAGCCUCAUACCGAUACAGAUUCGUCGAGGCGUGUUUAACUACAGGGAGGGUUAAAAUCGCUUUGCGACACGUGCCCGUUCACGGGGCAGAACAUCAUCGCGAAACACAGCCCCUCUCGCCUUCGACUUCACCGGGCUGUUCGACCAUUUUCGUUGUCAUCGUGCGUCGUCUGAGCGAUCGGUUCUUCCCGUAAUUAACGUCCCCUUUCCCAUCCCUCCUUCAGCUUCCCGACAACCUCUAAUUACGCUCUUCCGCGAUGAGAGAGCCUUGGAUAGAAGACUGAUUAGAAAUUGAGCCCCGAGAGCUUUUCCACCCCUUUCUUUGAUAAGAGCCCGGCCCAGCCACUUCCAACGCUUUACGAUGGAAACUUUUUAGCAUUUAUUCAUCGUUAUAUACUUCGGUUUCCUUUUUCCAAGAGUUCGGGGAGGUGAAAGGUUUCCAGAAACGGUUAAGAAGAAGAUCGAUGUUAAAUUUUGCUGGCUAUAUCGGUUUUCCGAGUUCGUGGAGUCGAAUGCUUUUUCUGAUAAGGAUUAAACUAUUUUUAAGUA